GUAUGCUAAAGCAGUGUAUCAUACUCGAAUCUCUGUUGGUAUGAGGUUCCGGAUGCUGUUUGAAACAGAAGAAUCAAGUGUUCGUAGGUAUAUGGGCACAAUUACUGGCAUCAGUAAUCUAGAUCCUGUUUGUUGGCCAAAUUCAUACUGGCGGUCUGUGAAGGUUGGAUGGGAUGAAUCUACUGCUGGAGAAAGGCAGCCCAGAGUUUCUCUAUGGGAAAUUGAACCUCUGACAACA
rnacentral:misc_RNA from 1 species